CCAACUGGGCAGAGGGAUCCUCCUCCCAUCAGCACUGGUUGUGAGAGAGGGUUCCUGCUUUGUUUGGGCUCAAGAUAGUUUUGGCUGGAGCUGGACAUUCAGACUACCUAUGUGAAGUGCAUCCUGUCUUUGGUGCCAGCUAGAUCCAUUCUGGAGAUGGAGCUUCAUGACAAAGGCUUGUGGCUCAGGGCUAGCUCUGGCACUGACACUUCAUGUCCUCACUUCUGUCUGCAGCUCGGAGGACAUCAAAUAGACCAUUUUCAAUAGGAAGAGAGCUGAGAUGGAGCACUACUGUCCCCCUGCCAAAGUGUGCAACUUCUCAGUGUUGUGUAAUGUGGGCAGAACUUGAUUUAAAUGAGUUAAAUAGUCAGGAUUUUCCCUGAUCCCACUUGUCCAA